rnacentral:lncRNA from 1 species
UUUUUUUAGGGAGAAACCAGGCUGAUUUGGUUAAGGGGGGGGCCACAAUAAUUUAGUGGUGGGGUCCAUCGCCAUGGUGGGGACAGGGGAUCCCCGGUGACACCGGAGGGGGUGGCAGUGGCUCUGCAGGGACAGGGACGAGGGCGCUGCGGUGUCGAGGACGAAGGAUCUCUGGUGACGCCGACGAAGGAGCUGCGGUGACGAAGAUGAUGGAGGACGAAGGAGCCGUGGUGACAAUGGUUCUCCGGUGACCGCAAUGGUGAAGGACGAGGAGUCUCCGGUGACAGUGACAACUGAGGAGCUACGAUGCUUCUUGGGUGACGAGGGUGCGCCGGUGACGAGGACGAAGGCUCUCCGAGGACGAUGAUGAUGGAGGACGACGAAGGAGCUGCGGUGAUGAUGAUGAGGGAAGAGACGAGGGCUCUCCAGUGACCAUGAUGGUGGAGAAGGACAAGGGCUCUCUGGUGACUAUGAUGGCAGAGAAGGGACAAGGGCUCACCGAGGAUGAUGAAGACCAAGGAUGAGGGUUCUCCACUGAUGAUGACGAGAGGAUGAAGGACGAGGGUUUUUCCGGUGACGAGGACAAUUGCUUUCUGGUGACGACGAUGACGAUGGCCAAGGAUGAGGGCUUUCCAGUGACGAUGAUGAAGACAAAGGAUGAGAGCUUUCCGGUGCUGCUGGACAAGGACGAGGUCUCUCUGGUGAUGAUAGCGAUGGGAGGACGAAGGCUCUCCAUGAUGAGGGACAAGGGCUCUCUGGUGACAUUGGAGGAGGACGCGGCGCUCCAGUGACAACGAUGACGGACAAGGACGAGGGCUCUCCGGUGACACUGGAAAAGGACGAAGAAGAGGGUUCUCCGGUGAUGAUGACGACGGACGACGGCUCUCCGGUGACGCUAGAGAAGGACAAGGAAGAGGGUUCUCCGGUGAUGAUGAUGAUGGACGACGGCUCUCCGGUGACGCUAGAGAAGAACAAGGAAGAGGGUUCUCCGGUGAUGCUAGAGAAGGACGAGGGCUCUCCGGUGACGAAGACAACGGAAGGACGAGGGCUCUCCGGUGACGAAGACAACGGAAGGACGAGGGCUCUCCGGCGACGAAGACAACGGAAGGACGAGGGCUCUCCGGCGACGCCGGACAGGAAAGGGAGGGCUCUGCGGCGGCUUUCAAGCCUCCUCUUCGGCCUCUUCACCGAAGUCCUCCUCUUCCUCGGCCGUGGCGUCCUGGUACUGCUGGUACUCGGAGACCAGGUCGUUCAUGUUGCUCUCGGCCUCGGUGAACUCCAUCUCGUCCAUGCCCUCGCCCGUGUACCAGUGAAGGAAGGCCUUGCGGCGAAACAUGGCUGUGAACUGCUCCGAGAUGCGCUUGAAGAGCUCCUGGAUGGCCGUGCUGUUGCCGAUGAAGGUGACGGCCAUCUUCAAGCCCCGGGGCGGGAUGUCGCACACAGCCGUCUUCACGUUGUUGGGGAUCCACUCGACGAAGUAGGAGCUGUUCUUGUUCUGCACGUUGAGCAUCUGUUCGUCCACCUCCUUCAUGGACAUGCGGCCCCGGAAGACGGCGGCCACCGUGAGGUAGCGCCCGUGUCGAGGGUCGCAGGCGGCCAUCAUGUUCUUGGCGUCGAAGACCUGCUGGGUGAGCUCGGGGACGGUGAGGGCCCGGUACUGCUGGCUGCCGCGUGACGUCAAGGGGGCGAAGCCGGGCAUGAAGAAGUGGAGACGAGGGAAGGGCACCAUGUUGACCGCCAGCUUGCGCAGGUCGGCGUUGAGCUGCCCGGGGAAGCGGAGGCAGGUGGUGACGCCGCUCAUGGUGGCCGACACCAGGUGGUUGAGGUCUCCGUAGGUGGGAGUGGUCAGCUUGAGGGUACGGAAGCAGAUGUCAUAGAGGGCUUCGUUGUCGAUGCAGUAGGUCUCGUCCGUGUUCUCCACCAGCUGGUGCACCGACAGCGUGGCGUUGUAGGGUUCCACCACCGUGUCCGAGACCUUGGGUGAAGGCACCACGCUGAAGGUGUUCAUGAUGCGGUCGGGAUACUCCUCGCGGAUCUUGGAGAUGAGCAGGGUGCCCAUGCCCGAGCCGGUGCCACCACCCAGCGAGUGGGUCAGCUGGAAGCCCUGCAGGCAGUCGCAGCUCUCCGCCUCUUUGCGCACCACGUCCAGCACCGAGUCCACCAGCUCCGCCCCCUCCGUGUAGUGGCCCUUGGCCCAGUUGUUGCCGGCGCCGCUCUGGCCUGGUGGUGGGUUGGGGACACGGGUUAGGACCGGGCCGUGGGGACGCCCGGGGAGGGUUGUUGGGUCUCCUCUGGGGUUGUCAGCUCUCUCUUGGAGAGCUCCAGCUCCUUUGGGAGCUCCAUCCCACCCUUGGGGACCUCCAUCACCCUCCUUGAGGGACCCUGAGCUCCAUGGGGACCUCCAUCCCACCCUUGGGGACUUUGAGGUCCUUGGGGACCUUCAGCUUCUCCUUGGGCAUCUUAAAUCUUCCCCAUGAGGACCUCAAACUUCUCCUCAGGGACCUCCGUCACCCUCCUUGGGGACUCAGAGCUCCUUAGGGACCUCCGUCCCACCCUUGCGGACCGCCAUCUUCUCCUUAGGCAUCUCUAUCUCCCCAUUGGGGACCUUCAUCGUCCUCCCCAGGUACCCCCAGUGCACCUUGGGGACCUCCAGCUCCUUUGGAGACCUUGAUCCU